GUCUGCGAAAUGGAAUUCUCUUCCAGUCCAGUAAGGAAGGUUUCUUGUUGGAAACAACUACCAAUUUAUUCAUUCAACAACUCAAGCUUUUACACUCAGACGGGACGACUGGGUUGAUGUGUGAAUGAUGCGGGAGAUGAUUUCGUCCAGUAAAUUUCUUUUCUUGGACUGAAGGGAGCUCCCUUGGGUAGCACU
rnacentral:pre_miRNA from 1 species